rnacentral:tRNA from 1 species
GGGCCUUUAGCUCAUUUGGUUAGUAGCUCCCGGCUCAUAACCGGGCGGUCCAGGGUUCGAGUCCCUGAGGGCCCA